AUGGUUGUCAUUAUUGAUGAUUGAGUACAAGUAUAUAUAGCACCGGGGGUUACAUCCAACAAACGCAAUGGUCUCGAAAGACACGAGCGAAGAGUCGCGUCCCUCGUGCAUGAUGGUUAGGGAUAGUGGAGAUUCUUUUUAAUUAACACGUGGAUUAAUUAAAUCUCAACAAACAUAAGAACAUUUCCGCAUCUCAACCCUUUCCUUACUUUUCUUUUUUUAACCUCCUCAACAUUCACUAGCUUUUAAUCCCCGAUAUACAAGACACUAAACAUUUUACGCACCUGCCACUUCCCCUAAACAUAAUUACACACAAAUUUAGUCUAGUUCAUGGCGUAAUUAAACAAUAGAAGCAUUGAACAUGCUGUAAUUAAAAAUUAAAUUAAACAUGAUAAAACAUCGAUACAACAACAUUAUCACUGCAGAAGCACAUUGAACAUGACAUAAUUAAACACUAAAUUGAGCAUGACAAAACAUCGCUACAAGCCUACAACAACAUCAGUACAUCACCACUGCUAUAUCAAAGCUACCUAGCAAGAACGAGCGAUCUACUACUACUCUGAGGAGAGCUCGACCA
rnacentral:lncRNA from 1 species